CGAGCACGCGCGUGUGGCAUAUCAAUAAGCGGAGGAAAAGAAACUAACAAGGAUUCCCUUAGUAACGGCGAGUGAAGCGGGAAGAGCUCAAAUUUGAAAUCUCCAAGGUUCUACCUUGACGAAUUGUAGUUUAUAGAAGUGUUUUCUGUUAGUGGAGUGGCAAAAGUUCUUUGGAAUAGGACAUCAUAGAGGGUGAGAAUCCCGUAUUUGGUCAUUCCUCCUAGCGUUGUGAUACACUUUCAACGAGUCGGAUUGUUUGGGAAUGCAGUCCAAAAUGGGUGGUAAAUUUCAUCUAAAGCUAAGUAUUGGCGAGAGACCGAUAGCGAACAAGUACCGUGAGGGAAAGAUGAAAAGAACUUCGAAAAGAGAGUUAAACAGUACGUGAAAUUGUCAAAAGGGAAGCGUUUGACACCAGUGUUGUUUUUCCGAAAAUCAAUUACGAAUGUUUUAGUUUUUGAGGAGUUAUGACUUCAUCGGCUUGCUCCUUUCUUUAUGAAACUUUCUUAAUGCACUUUUCCGGUUAACAAGUCAACAUCAAUUUCUUUUGUUGUAAAAAGGGUAUGAGGAAGGUGGCUUUCUCUUCGGCGCAAGUGUUUAUAGCCUUGUAGCCUCUGCAAUCGGAGAGAUUGAGGUCUGCAGCGUAGAUCCUUCGGGGUUAGAUACAUUUGUGCUAAGCUAUAGCCUUGUAUAGACAACUUGUUGACUAUGCUCAGUCAUGUAGCUUACUCGCUUAUGCUAUUUUACCUACGCUUAGGAUGUUGAUGUGAUACUGCGAGCA
rnacentral:rRNA from 1 species